UCAGAUUGCAGGCUGCAACUCGCCUGCAUGAAGUCGGAAUUGCUAGUAAUCGUAGGUCAGCAUACUACGGUGAAUACGUUCCCGGGCCUUGUACACACCGCCCGUCAAACCAUGAGAGUUGGCAACACCCGAAGUCGGUAGUCUAACCGCAAGGAGGACGCCGCCGAAGGUGGGGUUGAUGAUUAGGGUUAAGUCGUAACAAGGUAAC
rnacentral:rRNA from 1 species